UAUACCGGAUAAUAUAUUGAACCAUGGUUCAAUAGUGAAAGACGGUUUUGCUGUCACUCAUACAUGGAUCCGCGCCGCAUUAGCUAGUUGGUAAGGUAACGGCUUACCAAGGCAACGAUGCGUAGCCGACCUGAGAGGGUGAUCGGCCACACUGGAACUGAGACACGGUCCAGACUCCUACGGGAGGCAGCAGUAGGGAAUCUUCCGCAAUGGGCGAAAGCCUGACGGAGCAACGCCGCGUGAGUGAUGAAGGUCUUCGGAUCGUAAAACUCUGUUAUUAGGGAAGAACAAAUGUGUAAGUAACUAUGCACGUCUUGACGGUACCUAAUCAGAAAGCCACGGCUAACUACGUGCCAGCAGCCGCGGUAAUACGUAGGUGGCAAGCGUUAUCCGGAAUUAUUGGGCGUAAAGCGCGCGUAGGCGGUUUUUUAAGUCUGAUGUGAAAGCCCACGGCUCAACCGUGGAGGGUCAUUGGAAACUGGAAAACUUGAGUGCAGAAGAGGAAAGUGGAAUUCCAUGUGUAGCGGUGAAAUGCGCAGAGAUAUGGAGGAACACCAGUGGCGAAGGCGACUUUCUGGUCUGUAACUGACGCUGAUGUGCGAAAGCGUGGGGAUCAAACAGGAUUAGA
rnacentral:rRNA from 1 species